rnacentral:lncRNA from 1 species
CUUUCCCUCCUAGACAAUUCUUAUGGCUUCUUAAAUAUUACACGUGGCCUCCAGAAUUAAACCAACUUGGUUUACAUUUGAAAAUGGGGGUUAGGGAGGGAAGGCCCCAUGAUAAAGUUUUUCAACUCAGUAAAAAAGUUUACAAUGUCAGUUGGAAUUUUUCAAAACAUUUGGGAAAUAUCCAACAGAAAGAUAGAGGCCAAGAAAAUCACUUCAAAAUAAAGAAAGACUUAUAGAGGUAAAAAUAAGUCAAAAUAAGAAAAAUGGAAGUGCUUUAGGCUCGCUGCAUGUUUGGGUGAAGAAUUCUGUGAAGUUUAGUGGCUCUUUUGAAUUUCAGAGGGAUGUUACUAUUUGGGUAUAUUGGGAAAACAUAGUUUCCUCUGUAGCUGGCACAUCUAUCUCCCCUCAACCCGUAAACCGUCAAAUCUGUCUUGACUGCUCCGAACUGCUGGAUUUGUCUAGUGCUGGUGGAAUCUCAAUCUGUCUUACGUAGACCUCAGAGGGGAAGCACUUGCAAGGUAAGGCUAAAUCGGAAAAGUGGACAAGGGGAUCAAGAAAGAGGAAAAAUAAAAAAUAGGGAGUUAGGAUCAAAGACAGAUUUUUGCCCCUCUCUUGUCCUUAAUCAGGGAACAGAAAGCAGAACUUCCCAGAGACAGAGCAAUUUCUGGAUUCUGGCACUUUUUCAAGCUGCAAGCAGUAUCGUGCUCUUUCCUUCGUUGCUGCCAGUGAUGUACCAUUUUCCCUUUACUUUUUUUUUUCUUCCAGCUGUUGUACUCUGCUUUCUCAAUUCAAUAUGCUGCAAUAAGAUCAUCAGAUGUCUCCAAAUUAUCCAUAGUAUCUGAAUUAAGCUAAAUGUCUCAGAAGGGACUCUACCAGUGAAGUGGAUGUGCUUGCCAGUUACUAAGCCCUGCCGCCCUUAAACUCACUCAAGGUUAGGUUUAUAAAUCAAAGUUAAUGAUAUUACUUGCUCUAUCAAUGGGAUUUGUGACAUCUCUCACUUAGAGCCAAUCAAUUCUGCUAAACAAGUUCCAAGAAUUCUAUCUGAAUUAAUUUCAAAAAGUGAGUUUCUCUAUCCUUUGACUCUCUGUUUCAGUUUCCUACAAAUAAUUUAAAUAACUACAUCUCAUAUAUACCUCAUCUAAAUGUACCAACUUUUUUUUAUAAUAAGCAUAUUUUAGACUAUGUUACCUGAAUCUAAUCAGAGAGGAGAGGAGAUACUCUGACCAAUAAUUGAUAAUUCAGGCUCUUAAAUUUCUGGUGCAAAUCUGUGCAGAAAGUUGAUUCCAGUGUAGCAGAAGAGUUCAAAUAAAUAAGUUUUAUUCUUAUACACCGCUCCUAUUUUCCGAGUUUUUGGCAGAAUUACAUUUCUCUCUUCUCUUCUUUUCUUUUUUUUUUUUUUUUGAGACAAAGUCUCACUCUAUUGCCCAGGCUGGAAAGCAGUGGUGCGAUCUCGGCUCACCGCAACCUCUGCCUCCUGGGUUCAAGUGAUUCUCCUGCCUCAGCCUCCUGAGUAGCUGGGACUACAGGUGCCCACCACCAUGUCUGGCUAAUUUUUCUGUCUUUUGUAGAGGUGGGGUUUCACCAUGUUGGCCAGGCUCAUCUGGAACUCCUGACCUCAGAUGAUCCACCCACCUUGGCCUCCCAAAGUGCUGGGAUUAUAGGCGUGAGCCACCACACCCAGCCUCUCUCUUUUUGUGAGCCAAGUUGAAGUUCCAAAUGAUUGGUUUCUCCUGGAACUGUGGAUGUAAUAAAGUAUGUCAAGGAGCAAAUACAGAUUUUUCUGCCUGACCCAAAAAUGUCACAGUGUGUCAUGCAACAUCAAACAGCUUGACUCCAUAAACAGUACACAACAUUAUUUUGCCUUUAGAACCUGUGUAUAUAACCUACAACACAAAAUAUUUUCUUUAUUAAAAAAAUGAUAGAUAUUUAACAUAUGCCAACUGAAUCUGAUCUAUUUUUUAUAAGAAGUUGUUUGGGGAACUGAGCAGUGAUUUAAAGAGAGAGUAUAUACAUAUGGAUGAAUGCAAACAUAUUUAAUUACAAACAGGCCAAAGCAAGUUUUGGAAAUCCUGUAGUCUUCUACUUUUCUUGAAAUAAAUUUGCAUGUAACAUCCCAAAUCUGUGCAUGUUCAUUAGUGUUUUGCUUCUUUUCCAGAAACCCUUUGAGGUUCAAUUAAAGUUUAAUUUUGGGUUAUUAACAAAUAAUUUUUAGUAUAAGUAUAUCCAUAAAAUAUUUAGGACAGAGAUUCUGAUACAUUAUAUCUUUGUUAUCAUUAGUUUCAAAGAACUUCUUGAUUUCUGCCCUAAUUUUGUUAUUUACCCAGAAGUCAUUUAGGAACAAGUUAUUCAGUUUCCAUGUAAUUGUAUAGUUUUGAGUGAAUUUCUUAGUCUUGAUUUUGAAUUUGAUUGCCAUGUGGUCCAAGAGACUGUUUGCUAUGCCUUCAGUUCUUUUGCAUUUGCUGAGGAAUGUUUUACUUCCAAUUUUGUCAUCGAUUUUAGGGUGGAGGGUGGGCAGAGGGAGAGGAUCAGGAAAAAUAACUAACGGGUUCUAGGCUUAAUACCUCAGUGAUGAAAUAAUUUGUACAAUGAACCCCCAUGACACAAAUUUACCUAAGUAACAAACCUGCUCUUUUACCCCUUGGACUUAAAAGUUAAAAAAAAGAAAAAAAAUUAGGACAUAUUUAUAUUAAAAAUUAUUAAACACUUAAAUUUGAAUUGUAUA